rnacentral:lncRNA from 1 species
CUAAAAUAGUGCAUUUCAAUCCAUUACUUUGAUUGCUUACAAUAUAUAUUGGCAGCCACUAACCCAUAAAGAAAACUACAUUACGAACAAAACGAUUCUGGCAUAACUUUUUCAAUCAAUCUACAUAACAUUUACUACAUAAAGAACUCUCUAUAAAUCCAAGAUAGUAUCAUAAUGAUCAGCAAAACUCGAUAUUUCCUCCUAAUCUUUUCCUUUUCUUCAUCAUGUUUUUUAUCCUCUUUUGUAAUCCCGAAAUAGCAAUUCUAGCGUGUUCAGUAUAAUCAAGUUCACACCACCUAAAAAACUUGCAUCCAACCUGAAUCUUGAGAACUAAAAUUUAAACAAAAAAAAGAUGUUUUAAAUGGAACCAUACCCGACCAUCUUCACAUCCAAGAAACCAAC